rnacentral:rRNA from 1 species
AUUGAACGCUGGCGGCAUGCCUAACACAUGCAAGUCGAACGGUAACGCGGAGAGCUUGCUCUCUGGCGACGAGUGGCGGACGGGUGAGUAAUACUUAGGAAUCUGCCCAGUAGUGGGGGACAACAUUCGGAAACGGAUGCUAAUACCGCAUACGCACUACGGUGGAAAGUGGGGGACCUUCGGGCCUCACGCUAUUGGAUGAGCCUAAGUCGGAUUAGCUUGUUGGUAGGGUAAUGGCCUACCAAGGCGACGAUCCGUAGCUGGUCUGAGAGGACGAUCAGCCACACUGGGACUGAGACACGGCCCAGACUCCUACGGGAGGCAGCAGUGGGGAAUAUUGGACAAUGGGCGCAAGCCUGAUCCAGCAAUGCCGCGUGUGUGAAGAAGGCCUGCGGGUUGUAAAGCACUUUCAGUAGAGAAGAAAAGCCCAGGGUUAAUACCCCUGAGUCUUGACGUAACCUACAGAAGAAGCACCGGCUAACUCCGUG